GAUGAACGCUGGCGGCGUGCCUAAUACAUGCAAGUCGAGCGAACAGACGAGGAGCUUGCUCCUCUGACGUUAGCGGCGGACGGGUAGUAACACGUGGAUAACCUACCUAUAAGACUGGGAUAACUUCGGGAAACCGGAGCUAAUACCGGAUAACAUGUUGAACCGCAUGGUUUAACAGUGAAAGACGGUCUUGCUGUCACUUAUAGAUGGAUCCGCGCCGCAUUAGCUAGUUGGUAAGGUAACGGCUUACCAAGGCAACGAUGCGUAGCCGACCUGAGAGGGUGAUCGGCCACACUGGAACUGAGACACGGUCCAGACUCCUACGGGAGGCAGCAGUAGGGAAUCUUUCGCAAUGGGCGAAAGCCUGACGGAGCAACGCCGCGUGAGUGAAGAAGGUCUUCGGAUCGUAAAACUCUGUUAUUAGGGAAGAACAAAUGUGUAAGUAACUAUGCACGUCUUGACGGUACCUAAUCAGAAAGCCACGGCUAACUACGUG
rnacentral:rRNA from 1 species